UACGAAGGGUGCAAGCGUUACUCGGAAUUACUGGGCGUAAAGCGUGCGUAGGCGGUUUGUUAAGUCCGCUGUGAAAGCCCUGGGCUCAACCUGGGAAUUGCAGUGGAUACUGGCAAGCUAGAGUGCGGUAGAGGAUGGUGGAAUUCCCGGUGUAGCGGUGAAAUGCGUAGAGAUGUGGAGGAACACCGAUGGCGAAGGCAGCCCCCCUGGGCUAACACUGACGCUCAUGCACGAAAGCGUGGGGAGCAAACAGG
rnacentral:rRNA from 1 species